rnacentral:rRNA from 1 species
GGAUAACUACUGGAAACGGUGGCUAAUACCGCAUAACGUCGCAGGACCAAAGAGGGGGACCUUCGGGCCUCUUGCCAUCAGAUGUGCCCAGAUGGGAUUAGCUUGUUGGUGAGGUAACGGCUCACCAAGGCGACGAUCCCUAGCUGGUCUGAGAGGAUGACCAGCCACACUGGAACUGAGACACGGUCCAGACUCCUACGGGAGGCAGCAGUGGGGAAUAUUGCACAAUGGGCGCAAGCCUGAUGCAGCCAUGCCGCGUGUAUGAAGAAGGCCUUCGGGUUGUAAAGUACUUUCAGCGGGGAGGAAGGUGUUGUGGUUAAUAACCGCAGCAAUUGACGUUACCCGCAGAAGAAGCACCGGCUAACUCCGUGCCAGCAGCCGCGGUAAUACGGAGGGUGCAAGCGUUAAUCGGAAUUACUGGGCGUAAAGCGCACGCAGGCGGUCUGUCAAGUCGGAUGUGAAAUCCCCGGGCUCAACCUGGGAACUGCAUUCGAAACUGGCAGGCUUGAGUCUUGUAGAGGGGGGUAGAAUUCCAGGUGUAGCGGUGAAAUGCGUAGAGAUCUGGAGGAAUACCGGUGGCGAAGGCGGCCCCCUGGACAAAGACUGACGCUCAGGUGCGAAAGCGUGGGGAGCAAACAGGAUUAGAUACCCUGGUAGUCCACGCCGUAAACGAUGUCUACUUGGAGGUUGUGCCCUUGAGGCGUGGCUUCCGGAGCUAACGCGUUAAGUAGACCGCCUGGGGAGUACGGCCGCAAGGUUAAAACUCAAAUGAAUUGACGGGGGCCCGCACAAGCGGUGGAGCAUGUGGUUUAAUUCGAUGCAACGCGAAGAACCUUACCUGGUCUUGACAUCCACGGAAGUUUUCAGAGAUGAGAAUGUGCCUUCGGGAACCGUGAGACAGGUGCUGCAUGGCUGUCGUCAGCUCGUGUUGUGAAAUGUUGGGUUAAGUCCCGCAACGAGCGCAACCCUUAUCCUUUGUUGCCAGCGGUCCGGCCGGGAACUCAAAGGAGACUGCCAGUGAUAAACUGGAGGAAGGUGGGGAUGACGUCAAGUCAUCAUGGCCCUUACGACCAGGGCUACACACGUGCUACAAUGGCGCAUACAAAGAGAAGCGACCUCGCGAGAGCAAGCGGACCUCAUAAAGUGCGUCGUAGUCCGGACUGGAGUCUGCAACUCGACUCCAUGAAGUCGGAAUCGCUAGUAAUCGUGGAUCAGAAUGCCACGGUGAAUACGUUCCCGGGCCUUGUACACACCGCCCGUCACACCAUGGGAGUGGGUUGCAAAAGAAGUAGGUAGCUUAACCUUCGGGAGGGCGCUUACCACUUUGUGAUUCAUGACUGGGGUGAAGUCGUAACAAGGUAACCGUAGGGGAACCUGCGGUUGGA